UUUUCGUAGGUGAACCUGCGGAAGGAUCAUUAGUGAAUUACAAUAAGAGCGCUCGCAAGAGGCUCGGUAACACUAUUCACACACUGUGAACUUGUCUUUAUCAUUUCGCUUUAGAGUGUGAAAGGGCCUUAUGGGGCUUGAGUAAUGCUUUAAAGGGGGGUUUUAAAACUCUAGUCUUUAAACACUAGUCUUGUGGAAUGUAGUUGAAAUUGAUUAAACGAAAGUAUAACUUUCAGCAACGGAUUUCUUGGCUCUCGCAUCGAUGAAGAACGCAGC
rnacentral:misc_RNA from 1 species